GACGAACGCUGGCGGCGUGCCUAAUAUAUGCAAGUCGAGCGCAGGAAAUCGACGGAACCCUUCGGGGGGAAGUCGACGGAAUGAGCGGCGGACGGGUGAGUAACACGUAUAGAACCUGCCCUCAGGUCCGGGAUAACCACGAGAAAUCGGGGCUAAUACCGGAUGGGUCAUCGGACCGCAUGGUCCGAGGAUGAAAGGCGCUUCGGCGUCGCCUGGGGAUGGCUUUGCGGUGCAUUAGCUAGUUGGUGGGGUAAUGGCCCACCAAGGCGACGAUGCAUAGCCGACCUGAGAGGGUGAUCGGCCACACUGGGACUGAGACACGGCCCAGACUCCUACGGGAGGCAGCAGUAGGGAAUCUUCCACAAUGGACGAAAGUCUGAUGGAGCAACGCCGCGUGAACGAUGAAGGCCUUCGGGUCGUAAAGUUCUGUUGUAAGGGAAGAACAAGUGCCGCAGGCAAUGGCGGCACCUUGACGGUACCUUGCGAGAAAGCCACGGCUAACUACGUGCCAGCAGCCGCCGUAACAC
rnacentral:rRNA from 1 species